AAACCCUUCUUCAGACCAUGAUCACCAAGGUGGUUUUCCCAGGACGAGGCUAUCCCAUUGCACUUCGGGUGUGCUGACGCCUGCGAUGUCCCCAAAUGCGGGAUACUCGACUGCAAAAUUUGUGGUAGUGGGGGACUGCGUUCGCGCUCUCCCCUG